CAAUAGAAGUUUAUUUCCAGCUUAUGUAAAGUCUAAUGGCGGCCGUAGCAGGGAGGUGGGGCGGGGGAGAGAAGGCUUGGCUCCAUCAGGCUUAUGCAGGCUCUGGCAACUUCAACAUGUGGCUUCAAGGUCGCCUUGGAUGCUGACAUCCGACUACCAGAUAGGGGAAAAUAUGAAUGGAGGGCUGAACAGUUUUAUUGGUCAGGCCUGGCAGUGGGAUCCAUCACUUCUUCCCACUUUUCAUUGGUCAGAUGUGGUCAUAUGUACACACUUAAUGUCAAGGGAAGUUAGGAAGUGCGGUCCAGCUGUGAGCAUGAGGGAAGGAAAACUAAUUUCAUGAAUAGCUAGCCAGACUCUGCCACACUUGGAUUUAUCGACAAGCAGGGAAAAAUUAAACAGAGAAAGAUGGGUAUAAAAGUAAAUGUGAUCCUCUAUUGGCUGGAAUAUGUCACAAGUGAGACACUAGGAAGUCUGGUGGGCUGAAGGGAGGGAUGUAAAAUAAGACUAAACUCUUAUCAUAACUCAGAGUUGAUUAUUAUUAUUUUUUUGAUGUUAUAGACUCAAGUUGCAAUACUGGAAAAGGGGCAAUCACGUCCAUACCCUGGCAGUGCAGUGGAGUGGAAAAAGCGAGGAUUUCGGAGCCAGAUUAGACCUGGACUUGAACCCAACCUCUCCACACUACUACCUGUGUUGCCUCAAGCUACCCAAGCUCUCUGAACUGCAUGUUCCUCUUCUCUAAGAUGAAGAUAGGAAGAUUUAAGAUAUGAGAUUAAACUCUGCCAGACCAUGAUGAAUUAUCCUUUCCUCGUAUUGCUGAAGUUAAUUUUACAUAUGUCAUCAACAAUUUUUGCAUUUAUGUUCUUGAGGGAUAUUCCUCUUUAAUUCUAUUUCCUUGUAAUAUCAUUAUCUGGUUUUGUUAUUAAGGUUACUAUGCUGGCCUCAUAAAACAGGUUUGGAAGUCUUCUCUUUUCUCUUUCGUGAAAAUGUUGGUAUAGGAUUAACAUUGCUUCUUCGUUAAAUGUUCAAUAGAACUCAGCAAGAAAGUCAUACUUUAUGAGAAAGUUUUGAAUAAUAAAUUCAGCUUUGUUCAGAGAUAUUCAGGGAUGUAGCUAUUUACAUUAUAAUUCCUUCUUGUCAUUUGAUAAAAAUAUAUUUUCUUCUUGUCAUUUGAUAAAAAUAUUUUUCAAGGAAUUUUUCCCUUUCAUCUAAGUUAUUGAAUUUAUUUGUAUAAGAUUAUUCAUAUUUCCUUAUUACUUAAAAAACAUUUCUGUUUUGAAAUAAAUUUAUAUUACAGAAGAGUUGCAAAGAUAGUACAGAGAGUUCCAGUAUGUCUUUCACCCAGCUUCCUUUAGUAUUAACAUUACAUAACCAUGGUAAAUUUGUCAAAAACUAAGAAAUUAACAUUGAUACAAUACUACUAAUUAAAGACAAUUUAGAUGUCACCAAUUUUUACACUAAUGUCUCUUUUUCUGUCCUAGGAUCCAGUGUAGGAUACUAUACAUCAGUUGUUUUUCACCCUCAUCUCAUCUGUGACACUUUCUCAGUCUAUUCUUGCUUUUCAUGAUGUUGACAGUUUGAUAAUUUAAGUGGCAAAUAUUUUGUCCUAUUUUUUUAAAUUAAAGUUUUGUAGUUUUGAGUUUUAAUUUUGUUCUCCAAUCCAUAUUUGAAUUAAUUUUUACAUAUAGUAUGAGGUGCAGAUCCAAGGUAAAUUUUUUUUCUGUAUAUGCAAGGCCAACUUUUCCAGAACCAUUUGUUGAAAAGUUGACCCUUUCUUCACUCAGUUGUCUUUGUCAAAAUAGAUUGUC
rnacentral:lncRNA from 1 species